UACGGGGGGGGCAAGCGUUGUUCGGAAUUACUGGGCGUAAAGGGCUCGUAGGCGGCCAACUAAGUCAGACGUGAAAUCCCCGGGCUCAACCCGGGAACUGCGUCCGAUACUGGAAGGCUUGAAUCCGGGAGAGGGAUGCGGAAUUCCAGGUGUAGCGGUGAAAUGCGUAGAUAUCUGGAGGAAUACCGGUGGCGAAGGCGGGUCUCUGGGCCGAUACUGACGCUGAGGAGCGAAAGCGUGGGGAGCGAACAGG
rnacentral:rRNA from 1 species